rnacentral:rRNA from 1 species
CCCUUAGAUGUUCUGGGCUGCACGCGCGCUACACUGAUAUACUCAACGAGUUUACGACCUUGCCCGAUAGGGUUGGGUAAUCUUUUUAAAAUGCAUCGUGAUGGGGAUAGAUUAUUGCAAUUAUUAAUCUUCAACGAGGAAUUCCUAGUAAGCGCGAGUCAUCAGCUCGUGCUGAUUACGUCCCUGCCCUUUGUACACACCGCCCGUCGCUCCUACCGAUUGAGUGCUCAGGUGAAUAAUUCGGACUGCAGCAAUGUUUGGAUCCCGAACGUUGCAGCGGAAAGUUUAGUGAACCUUAUCACUUAGAGGAAGGAGAAGUCGUAACA